GGAGAGGUGGCUCAGCAGUUAAGAGCACUGGCUGCUCUUCCAGAGGUCCUGAGUUCGAUUCCCAGCAACCUCA
rnacentral:tRNA from 1 species